rnacentral:misc_RNA from 1 species
AUCCCUGCUAUGGCAGCGACGUCAUCCCCUUCAUGCCUGUUCAUUCGAUGGUCGGAUUUCGCAUGCGGUCAUCUAGAUUUCGGUUCCCUGUGUUGCAUACCUGUUGCAAAGGUAUCUUGUUGGCUAAAACGACCCUAUUUCGCCCUACGCUACGAUUUAUAUUGCGGCUGAAGGUGAACCUAAAAGCAUCCAUCGUGUUCCAGCCCGUUCACUACACGUGGGGGGAAUUGGACCUCGAUGAUGUGCUCGAAUUCUCGGAUGCGGAAUAUUAAGUGGGUACGAGGACCUUGAUCCUCUGUUUACCCUGAACAAGCGUUCUACGCUUCGUGCGAAUGACGUUCUUCCUCGUUGUGGACUUCAGUCC